rnacentral:tRNA from 1 species
GGGGAUUUGAACCCCGAGCUCUCGCAGGUGCGGGGGUGAGGGGGGCGGUCAUCCUCCAGGGACAGCUGUAGAGAAGGGCAUCUUUCCCCACUUAAUUCUAGUAACCUUGGCCUCCGCGAUCCUGUGCUCCCAGACUGCCAAAGGUUCCCAGGAGAGGGCGGAACGGUUGGAGGGGAGCCUGGGCUCCCAUCUCAGGCCUGGGAGUACUGAAGGUUCUAGAACUCCCAUCCAGGCCUGCCUGCCUGCUGGAUCCGGGGUCCUGAGCGACCGCAGGGUUUCAGGGACCCGGUGCCUGCGUGGCACCGGCUUCCCAGCCCUGCCUCAUUCUCUUUGUCCCUUUGGGUCAGAAUGUCCCCGAUCCCUGCCCAUGUCCUUGAAUUUCGGGUCCCCCCUCCUCCUCCGCUGCUUUCAGUUCUGAGGUUCUGCUCAGUUUCGGGCUGGAACGGAGGAAUCGUGCUGGAGGCGGCCCUGGUCGCGGGGGCGGGGCUUCGGGGACGAGGAGGCCUUCUUGGCCCAGCACCGCCUGCCGUUGCCUUCGAAGGAGGCGCUGGGCCCCGUGCCCGGCUAGCUCAGUCGGUAGAGCCUGAGACUCUUAAUCUCAGGGUGGUGGGUUCGAGCCCCACGUUGGGCGUACGUUUUAGAAGCCUGCGUGAAUGGUUUCCGGCGCUUGGCAAGCAGUUAGCACAAGUCACGUUUCAGGGGCUGCCAGGGAGACCCAAAGGCCAAAUCCCUGUGCGGGACCUGGAGCUGCAAGAAGACUGGACGAGGGGGAAGGUGAGGCGUUAGAGUUGCUCAGCAAGACCUCUAUCCAGUUCCCUUCUACACAGAGAUUGCGGACCCGAGUUGCAUUCAGGGAUUUUAGUGUGUAUCUGGCCCAUGGAGACGCGCAGGAACAGCGAAGCUCCGGGGAGUCAUGUCUGCAGGUGGCAUCCCAGUCCCUCUCAGAUACCAGAUGGAGCUGUCCCCAGCCAAGGUGUGACCUCGGAGCAGCAUUCAAACUUAGGAGCUUUGGAGUGGCUCCGGGUACAUUUCCCAGGAGAGGUCGGGUCGGGGUGAAGAGACAGACGAAGGUGAACCGGAGGCCGGGACAAUUUGCUACAUGGUCCUGCUGGAAAACCUCUGGUCAGAUUUUGUAAAACUGUGCGCCCCAGAGGGUUAAUGAGGUUAAAAAGUCACUGCCGCCCAGUGACUCCCCUUCUUCACCAGAGUGCUCACUCUAUCGUUUAGGGGCAAACAGCAGGCAGAGCUCUGGCCGGCCUAGACCAGUUUGAGCGCCACACUGCUGCACGCAUGCGCGGCCGGACCCUCUCGUGUCUGCUUCAUUGUAACGUUGAACUCCUCGCCCGAGGAGCGCACGCUUCAUCAGCAUCACAUGCAACACGUGUGUAGGCAUAUGUUUUAAGUACUCCGACACAGCCCUAUGCCCCCGCCUCUGCUUUCGAGGCCGAAACUCCCCUUUCAGGAUAGUCAUCUGAAUACUCCCCCCCACUUCAGAGUGGGGCCAAUAGCUUUGGAAAUUAUUCCCCGCGAUCUCCUUAUUUGCGGCAAGUAAAGUUCCCUUCGGGCGACAGCUCCGCCUGGUAUAGUCUCUACCUGUAACUCGCCGAGGAGCAAACUCGCACGACCCCGUGUCACAGAAGCACAUGGGGAAUGGAACUGGGGGGUUCACUUGGGUCCUUGGCCUCUGAGACUUGCAGAGACAAGGUUGAGUUGGGGGCCAAGCCCCCCCCCCCUUCUCUCUCAAAUUAGCCAACCUUGGCAUUUCCUAGGGAGAAAGGACCAUCAUUCCCAUAGCACGAUUGUCCUUACUUCCUUUAAAAACACUGGAGCAGUAAAGCAACGGCUGAGCUGGAUUUAUUCCAGGAAUGCAAGGUUGGUUUUAUGUUCAAGAAAGUCUAUCAAAGUAGUUAAUUAUAUUGACUGAAUGAAAAGGAAAAGUCACGGGAUCUUCAUAAAUGUUUUUACAAACGCGUGGAUAGAGUUCACACCUGUACUAAUCAUGGUUUUUAUUUUCUGUAUUAUAUGAUGGUUUUACAUCUUGG